CUGGAAUUGACACUUCCUUAUCUGUUAUUGGGAGUGGACUACAUCCACCCUGAUCCGAAUUGGCCCUGUCAACACUGGUUCUCAACUUGUGAGACUAACACUGCUACCCCCUGAUACUUAAGAUAUUGGAACAAUCCUGAUCUGAAACAACCUGUUCCGUCUCUUUUGUUUCCAGUGACCCAACUAUGAUUCUUUGGGAGCAAAUCAGGAUCAAGCCCAUUGUGGACAUGAAGUCUGAACUCUUCUCCUAGACCUACAGAUCAUUCCAUUAAAGACUGAGGCAUGUGAGAAGGAAAGGAUGGAGAACACUUCAAAAAC